rnacentral:rRNA from 1 species
UACGUAGGUGGCAAGCGUUGUCCGGAUUUACUGGGCGUAAAGAGCGCGCAGGCGGUCGUUCAAGUCGCGUGUGAAAGCCUCCGGCUCAACUGGGGAGGGUCACGCGAUACUGAUCGACUCGAAGGCAGGAGAGGGAAGUGGAAUUCCCGGUGUAGUGGUGAAAUGCGUAGAUAUCGGGAGGAACACCAGUGGCGAAGGCGACUUCCUGGCCUGUUCUUGACGCUGAGGCGCGAAAGCUAGGGGAGCAAACGGG